rnacentral:rRNA from 1 species
GACAGAGGGUGCAAACGUUGCUCGGAAUCACUGGGCGUAAAGGGCGCGUAGGCGGGGAUGUAAGUUGGGCGUGAAAUCCCCAGGCUCAACCUGGGAACUGCACUCGAAACUGCGUUUCUUGAGUAUCGGAGAGGAAAGCGGAAUUCCUGGUGUAGAGGUGAAAUUCGUAGAUAUCAGGAGGAACACCAGUGGCGAAGGCGGCUUUCUGGACGGUAACUGACGCUGAGGCGCGAAAGCGUGGGGAGCAAACAGG